rnacentral:rRNA from 1 species
AGGACGAACGCUGGCGGCGUGCCUAACACAUGCAAGUGGAGCGACGAACCAGGCUUCGGCCUGGGGCAGAGCCGCGAACGGGUGAGUAACACGUGGGUAACCUGCCCUGAUGAUUGGGACAACCCGAGGAAACUCGGGCUAAUACCGAAUGUGCCCUCUGGCCUCAAGGCCUCUGGGGAAAGGAGCUUCGGCCUCCGCAUCGGGAUGGGCCCGCGGCCCAUUAGCUUGUUGGUGAGGUAACGGCUCACCAAGGCAACGAUGGGUAGCUGGUCUGAGAGGACGAUCAGCCACACUGGGACUGAGACACGGCCCAGACUCCUACGGGAGGCAGCAGUGGGGAAUCUUGCGCAAUGCGCGAAAGCGUGACGCAGCAACGCCGCGUGGGGGAAGACGGCCUUCGGGUUGUAACCCUUUCAGCAGGGACGAAGCGAAAGUGACGGUACCUGCAGAAGAAGCGCCGGCUAACUACGUGCCAGCAGCCGCGGU